rnacentral:lncRNA from 1 species
GGUGUACUGACUGAUAUGACUGAUGGUGUACUGACUGAUGUGACUGAUGGUGUACUGAGUGAUGUGACUGAUGGUGUACUGACUGAUGUGACUGAUGGUGUACUGAGUGGUGACUGAUGGUGUACUGACUGAUGUGACUGAUGGUGUACUGAGUGAUGUGACUGAUGGUAUACCGAGUGAUGUGACUGAUGGUGUACUGAGUGAUGCGACUGAUAGUGUAUUGACUGAUGGUGUACUGAGUGAUGUGACUGAUGGUGUACUGACUGAUGUGACUGAUGGUGUACGGACUGAUGUGACUGAUGGUGUACUGACUGAUGGUGUACUGAGUGAUGUGACUGAUGGUGUACUGAGUGAUGUGACUGAUGGUGUACUGACUGAUGGUGUACUGAGUGAUGUGACUGAUGGUGUACUGACUGAUGUGACUGAUGGUGUACUGAGUGAUGUGACUGAUGGUGUACUGAGUGAUGUGACUGAUGGUGUACUGAGUGAUGGGACUGAUGGUGUACUGACUGAUGGUGUACUGAGUGACGUGACUGAUGGUGUACUGAGUGACGUGACUGAUGGUGUACUGACUGAUGUGACUGAUGGUGUACUGACUGAUGUGACUGAUGGUGUACUGACUGAUGUGACUGAUGGUGUACUGACUGACGGUGUACCGACUGAUGUGACUGAUGGUAUACUGACUGAUGUGACUGAUGGUGUACUGAGUGAUGAGACUGAUGGUCUACUGAGUGAUGUGACUGAUGGUGUACUGAC